GCAAAGCUGUCAAAAAUAUACCCGAAAGAUACAGAAACUCCUCCUGAUGGAGUUGAUGACAUGACUAAGCUAGCAUAAUUGCAUGAACCUGGAGUGCUUCACAAUUUGGCAACUAGAUAUGAGAUAAAUGAAAUUUAUACUUACACUGGAAACAUUCUCAUCGCCAUCGAUCCAUUCCAAAGUCUCUCACAUCUGUAUGAUGCUCAUAUGAUGGAAUGGUAUAAUGGAGUGCCAUUUGGAGAACUGAGCCCUCAUGUUUUUGCAAUAGCAGAUGCUGCAUACAGGGAAAUGAUUACUGAGGGAAACGGCAAUUCGAUUCUGGUUAGUGGGGAAAGCGGAGCUGGUAAGACUGAAACAACUAAAAUGCUUAUGCGCUACCUUGCCUAUUUGGGUGGUAAUGCUGCAGCAGAAGGGCGGAGUGUAGAACAGAAAGUUUUAGAAGUAAGC